rnacentral:rRNA from 1 species
GAUGAACGCUGGCGGCGUGCCUAAUACAUGCAAGUCGAGCGAACAGACGAGGCGCUUGCUCCUCUGACGUUAGCGGCGGACGGGUGAGUAACACGUGGAUCACCUACCUAUCAGACUGGGAUAACUUCGGGAAACCGGCGCUAAUACCGGAUAAUAUAUUGAACCGCAUGGUUCAAUAGUGAAAGACGGUUUUGCUGUCACUUAUAGAUGGAUCCGCGCCGCAUUAGCUAGUUGGUAAGGUAACGGCUUACCAAGGCAACGAUGCGUAGCCGACCUGAGAGGGUGAUCAGCCACACUGGAACUGAGACACGGUCCAGACUCCUACGGGAGGCAGCAGUAGGGAAUCUUCCGCAAUGGGCGAAAGCCUGACGGAGCAACGCCGCGUGAGUGAUGAAGGUCUUCGGAUCGUAAAACUCUGUUAUUAGUGAAGAACAAAUGUGGAAGUAACUAUGCACGUCUUGACGGUACCGAGUCAGAAAGCCACGGCUAACUACGUG